GUCCAGACCCCUGACCUCUGCCCAGGGGCAGAACUCAGGAAGGUGCACCCUGCAGAUUCAGGGAUGUGUGCCUGCAGCAGAGGGUGUGCCCCGCGUGCUGCAGGGAUUCUGGCAUGUGUGGUCAGAGUCGCUCUCCUUUGAAAGGCACUUCUCUUUCUACAUGAACACAGCCACCCUCAUUUCCCCUGACCCCCCAAACCGGAAGAGUAGACCUGCGACACACUGUCUGUCGAAACUCGCCCGUGUGCAGACGCUCAGACGCAGCCACUCUGCAGCGCCCUGUGCUGAUCAGACUGUCCCCUGUUUUAAUACGACAUCGUGCCCCAGUUCCCAGGAGGAAGGGGCAUGCAUGCCACCCACCAGGGCCUCAUGGGGAAGCCCUAGAGGCUGAAAGAGAUGGAGUGAAGGAAAAAAGUGGGCAAGAACCUUUACUGUAUCGUCCAUGAGAAGGAACAGGUUUUUCGGCCAGACCUGGAAGCAGCUCCAUCCAUUCCUGGUCACACAGUGCUGGCUAGACUUCAUCCCAGGACACACCUAACUUCAAGGGAGUCUGGAGAGACCAUCUCGUCUCACUGGGACCUCAGGAAGUCAGGACACGGUGCUGGAAGCAGGAGGGUCAGAGAGAGGGAAGGAGCGGAGACCACGCAAGCAGGAGUCCUGGUCAGAGGGAGUUUGGAGAAGCUCCAGGGCUCCUUGAAGACGGAGGAAGGGGCCACAAGCAGAGGAAUGCAGAUGGCCUUUGGCGCUGCAAAAGGUAAUGGAAUGGAUCCUGCCCUGGAGCCCCCAGAAGGAACACAGCCCUUGGUUUUAGCCCAGGUUAGCUGAUUGCAGACUCCUGACACCCUGACGUGUAGAAUAUUAAGGUGUGUUGUUUGGUGCCCUUAGUGAGGAGGCAUUUGUUCCAGCAGCAAUUGCAAGCUUUUGGGAAAAACAGCCUCCAAUCCCAAGCCUGAAGGGCGUUAGCCAGAUGAAGGAGUGAAGCUCAGAUCAAGGACACUGUCCUUCAGCUGAUGGGACCUCUGGUGUUUGGCGAGUGCAUGGCGUCCAGUAGGAAUGGAAAACGGAGAACUUUAGUUCCUCUGAGUGGGACCUAAAGCUUGUGCCCUGGGGUCUCAUCACCGCCUUUGCCAGGCCACACGUGUCCGUGUGCGGGUGUGUGCAUGUGUGCGUUCCUACAGUGUGUGU